UACAUAGGGGGCAAGCGUUGUCCGGAAUCACUGGGCGUAAAGGGUGCGUAGGCGGAAAUUUAAGUUAAGUGUGAAAGCCCGGGGCUUAACCCCGGAACUGCACUUGAUACUGGGUUUCUAGAGUGAUGGAGAGGUUAGUGGAACUCCUAGUGUAGCGGUAGAAUGCGUAGAGAUUAGGAAGAACACCAGAGGCGAAGGCGACUAACUGGACAUUAACUGACGCUGAGGCACGAAAGCGUGGGGAGCAAAC
rnacentral:rRNA from 1 species